AGGGAUUUAGCUCAGCGGCAUAAGCACCUGCCUGGCAAGCAUGAGGACGUGAGUUCAAUCCCUG
rnacentral:tRNA from 1 species